CCUACGGGAGGCAGCCGUGGGGAAUAUUGGACAAUGGGGGGAACCCUGAUCCAGCGACGCCGCGUGAGUGAAGAAGUAUUUCGGUAUGUAAAGCUCUAUCAGCAGGGAAGAAAGAAAUGACGGUACCUGACUAAGAAGCCCCGGCUAACUACGUGCCAGCAGCCGCGGUAAUACGUAGGGGGCAAGCGUUAUCCGGAUUUACUGGGUGUAAAGGGGGCGUAGACGGCGAUGCAAGUCUGAAGUGAAAGGCGGGGGCCCAACCCCCGGACUGCUUUGGAAACUGUAUGGCUGGAGUGCAGGAGAGGUAAGUGGAAUUCCUAGUGUAGCGGUGAAAUGCGUAGAUAUUAGGGGGAACACCAGUGGCGAAGGCGGCUUACUGGACUGUAACUGACGUUGAGGCUCGAAAGCGUGGGGAGCAAACAGGAUUAGAUACCCGGGUAGUC
rnacentral:rRNA from 1 species